rnacentral:rRNA from 1 species
GAUGAACGCUAGCGGGAGGCCUAACACAUGCAGGCCGAGCGGUAGAGUUUCUUCGGAAACUUGAGAGCGGCGUACGGGUGCGGAACACGUGUGCAACCUGCCUUUAUCUGGGGGAUAGCCUUUCGAAAGGAAGAUUAAUACCCCAUAAUAUAUUGAUUGGCAUCAAUUAAUAUUGAAAACUCCGGUGGAUAGAGAUGGGCACGCGCAAGAUUAGAUAGUUGGUGAGGUAACGGCUCACCAAGUCAGUGAUCUUUAGGGGGCCUGAGAGGGUGAUCCCCCACACUGGUACUGAGACACGGACCAGACUCCUACGGGAGGCAGCAGUGAGGAAUAUUGGACAAUGGGUGAGAGCCUGAUCCAGCCAUCCCGCGUGAAGGACGACGGCCCUAUGGGUUGUAAACUUCUUUUGUAUAGGGAUAAACCUACCCUCGUGAGGGUAGCUGAAGGUACUAUACGAAUAAGCACCGGCUAACUCCGUGCCAGCCGCCGCUGUAAAAC